CCUUACUUUCAAAUUUGUUAAGCUCCUUAACCACGUUGAAGUCUAUGAAGAACGAACCUAAACAUUAAGACAAUUUCUCAAUAAUUCUCUUCAAGGCAUCAGUCAUUUAAAUUCAACCCAAUGUGAAUCUUUUUACAACUUACCCAAAUCUUCGCGAAAGAAAUCGAGCAGUAGCUUUGCGAAGAGACGACGUGCGACGGAGAGACCGUAUACAGACGGCCGGAGAGUCGCGCGGCAGUGCAGACAACGGAGGAGAAGGGAUCGGCGGCGGCUGGCUUGGACGGCGGUUGUGAGCGGCGGACGUGGCGGUUACUGCUUCACACGGUGGCUCGGCUUCGACGGAGACAGAACAAGACGCGAGGGAGAGAGAGAGAGAUUUCUUUUUCCUUUUUCUUUUCUUUUUAUUUAAAUUAAAUAUAAAUAAUAAAUAUAUACUAAAACUCCUACUACAAAUUUCUUUCAAAUACUUUAAUUUAAAUUUAAAAACGUCAAAAAAUUUUAAAAAGGUUCUUGACGUUUUAAAAGCG
rnacentral:lncRNA from 1 species